rnacentral:rRNA from 1 species
AUGAAAGGAAACAACUUCCAUUUUGUUGUAAAAAGCCUUGUAUCACAGCGGCUGAUAGUUAGACAAUCAGCUCUCAUAAAGGUGAAAGACAAUGGGGCUGAGGGGGAAGAGGUUUCACAUAAUAAGCAGGUUAUUAGCACCAACUCAUUAUAUCUGUCCCGAUAUGCCAAAGACAUGAAUAUGAAUUCACAACAAAGAAUUGAGAUUACAAAACCUGAACUACUGGGGAGCAAUGAAGAGACCAACAUUGCUUUGCAAGAAGAUGGAGCUUUGGCUGUAAAUUUGAAGAAUGACAUAUCUGUUCAUGAUUAUCUUCCAGCAAUGGAAGCCAUAUGUGAAAAACUUGAAAAUGCCAGUGGAAAGGCUUUCGUUGUAUCAGAUAUAAAAGUUGAUCCGGAUUACAAGAUGGCAUAUGGACACAGAGCAUGGAGAAAUGUAUUGCAUAGGCUAAGAGAUGCACAGCUUGUUGAAGAAUUCGAUGCCAACGUUGAUGAUAAGGUUGUUCGCUGUUUACGAUUGCUGAAGAAAUUUGAUCCAGUUGAGUUCCAGUCGAAAAGUACAACCCAAGACUACAAAAUUGGCGAGAAACGCCAGGCAACUGAUCAAGUUAUGGAGCUUCCAUUAGAGAACUGUAUAUAUGAUAUGAUCAAAGCUGAAGGGUCAAAAGGUAUAACCCUUGUCGAGCUUGGCAAACGUCUUGGGCAUAAGAAUUCAAGAAGGCUUCAUAAAAGAGUGUCAUCCAUGCGCCAAAGAUUCAAUUUGACUUGGGAUGCUGAAGUUUCAGAUAAGACAUCUCAGUACCGAGUUUGGACUUCAAAAGACUUUUUGCACUACAAAUCUGGUACUGCUCUGCAAAGUUUUGAGGCACUCCCAGGUGAUCAUGUCAAGCGUUCCGAUUCGUGGUCACUAGUUCCAUCUAGUGGAUUGGAUUCUCAUAGCUCUCAUGGCAACAAUAAUGAACUCUUGUAUGAAGCGGAAUGCCAUGAUGAGCCAGUUGGACAUUCUCUCCAAAGCAGCCAUGAAGCUUGUGUUGGAGUUUCCCAACUAGUUAAACAAGAUAAACUUGCUUUGGGUCGGAAGAAGCAUCGGUGCCCCCCUUCAACUUCUGAUGAUCGACGACAGAGAAGGAUUCUACACAUGUUGAAGAAAAAGAAAUUUGUGCUAAAGGUGGAGUUACAUAAAUGGUUAGAGAGACUUGAGAAGGAAAAUGGCAAAAUGAUGGAUAGGAAAACAUUGGCUCGCACGUUGAAUAAGCUUCAGCAAGAGGGCAGCUGUAAAUGUAUCAAAGUCAGUGUCCCUUUGGUUACAAACUACACCCGCAAUCGUCUCAUUGAUGUAAUACUUCAUUCUUCUGUUGGGGACUUAUCACCAGAACUUGUUGAUCAAAUUAGGAUGAGGCAGCGGAACUUUGACACUGAAACUCGUUCUGGUGCAGCAGCUAAACUGAAGCAAAAUCAACAUAAGACAGCCAUGCCUGGUCUGAGGAUUUCACGCAGAGUUAAAGAUAACAAACCGUUAAUAAUAGAAGCUAUGCAUGCCAAUGGAUUUAUAGGUGCAAAAAUGAUCCGGGUGAAGCUGUUCCACAUAUUUCUGUGGGUAUAUGUUAGUUGUUUGCCAGGUUGCUGCAUACCAGCUGGUUAUGCUGAAGAAGGGCAGCAUGCCAAGGACCUUAAUCAAUCAUCUCCGUUAUUUUCGAUGGCAGCAGCUAUAAAUGAAAUGCCUGUCGAUCUCUUUCUACAAGUUGUGGGAUCAGCCAAGAAGAUCGAUAACAUGAUAACUAAGGUGCUUUCAGAACUUCCUACCGAGGAAUACAACCAGCUCAUGGAUACUCAUGCUAAGGGACGACUCUCACACUUAAUAAAUAUUUUAGAUAAGCUCAAGUUGCUCCAACUUGCAAAUGAACUUGUAGAUGAGUCAGGUGUACCAUCAGAUGCUGCGCCUACACAUUCAAUGGAGCUCAGGCCUUAUAUUGAAGAACCAAUACGAAGAAUUCUUCCAUCAUCACAUGUUAAUUUGAAUCAUCGUCCAAAAAUUCGGCAUGAUUUUGUGCUUUCAAAGCAGGAGUUUGUUGAUGCUUACUGGGAAACAUUAGAGUACUGCUAUCUGACAGCUGGCUUGACUGAGCCGUUAAGUGCCUUCCCUGGCUGUGCUGUACCUGAGCUGCUGCAUCAUUGA